ensembl:lncRNA
CUAGAAUGCCUUCUAUUUAAUUUAAAACAUUUCUCAGAACAGAAUGUGACUCAAUGUCAGAUUGAUUCUUGCCCUGUCAUCAGACUGAAUAACAAAUGUGGCAUACACCCAGCUUCAUCAUCUCCCUUAUUCUUUUCCAGGAACUGACACAUUGAACCAUAUUGUGCCCUUUCCUGAGCUAAGGUUUCCUGCUACAGUAGUGCUUUCUGUGUGCACCUCUUGGAAGCUGAGGAAGAUCACCCUUCUGAAUUAACGCACUUUAGCUAGAGGCCUAUGUUUUGGUGCUACAAAUAUGGCUGAACGGACUGAUAGCUAGUCUCGGCGUCCACGUUCAGGCCUGGUGCCAAACUCUACAGCUUUAUGAAGCUUCAGACAGCCUAGACUCUCCUCAUGUGAAUUCAUCACUGUGGUGACUCCAGCAGCUAUAAUUUUGAAUGGAAGAGAGUGAAGGAAAGACUAUUCCACUUUCUUAAAGAAUUCUUUCUCUGCCAGUGGGAGCCACCUGGCUGAACACUGACAUCUGUGCAACCAAAGACUUUGUGCACAUCACAAGAGCAGAGCACUAAGCUGUAGCUAUCCAACCUUUUGGCUUGCCUGGGCCACGCUGAGUGAAGAGGAAUUGUCUUGGGCUGCAUGUAAGAUAUGUAAUACAGUUUGUGUUUAUUACUAACAAGACAUUGUAAUUUUUUUUUAAAUUAAAACACAGAGCCAAAAAACCCAAACAUGAUCAGAUCUCUGAGUUGAACAUCUGAUUGUAGCUCAGUACAUUCCAUUUGAAAACUGGAGACCCAGACAGAGGUUCCAUGCACACGUAAAAGGAAGGCCGUGGCCAAGAAGAAUGUGGAAACCCAGACUGAGGUCCAGAAACAAGAUGCUAGUGCGCAGGUCUCUGGCUGUAGUGAGUGCCAGAGCCUGACCUUUGCAGCGCUAGGUGAGGGAGACAGCACUUGUGUAAGAUGCGACCAGCUAAAUGACUUACUCAGCCAGGUGGCUGACCUGAAGCAGGAGGUGGAGAGGCUGAGGAGCAUAAAGGAAUGUGAGAGGGAGAUUGAUUGGUGGUGGCAAACCCAAUCAGCCCCGAGACCUUGGCACCUAGCUGAGGCUCCACAUGGAGCAAGUCACCCCCUACCACCUUGCAAACAGGUGACAGAGGCGAACCAGCAGGCAGAUGGUGUUCCUGCUGCAGUGAACCCC